GAUGAACGCUGGCGGCAUGCCUAAUACAUGCAAGUCGAGCGAAUGGAUUAAGAGCUUGCUCUUAUGAAGUUAGCGGCGGACGGGUGAGUAACACGUGGGUAACCUGCCCAUAAGACUGGGAUAACUCCGGGAAACCGGGGCUAAUACCGGAUAACAUUUUGAAUCGCAUGGUUCGAAAUGGAGAGGCGGCUGCGGCUGUCACUGAUGGAUGGACGCGCGUCGCAUUAGUUAGUUGGUGAGGUAACGGCUUACCAAGGCAAGGAUGCGUAGCCGACCUGAGAGGGUGAUCAGCCACACUGGGACUGAGACACGGCCCAGACUCCUACGGGAGGCAGCAGUAGGGAAUCUUCCGCAAUGGACGAAAGUCUGACGGAGCAACGCCGCGUGAGUGAUGAAGGCUUUCGGGUCGUAAAACUCUGUUGUUAGGGAAGAACAAGUGCUAGUUGAAUAAGCUGGCACCUUGACGGUACCUAACCAGAAAGCCACGGCUAACUACGUGCCAGCAGCCGCGGUAA
rnacentral:rRNA from 1 species